AUUGAACGCUGGCGGCAUGCUUUACACAUGCAAGUCGAACGGUAACAGGCCGCAAGGUGCUGACGAGUGGCGAACGGGUGAGUAAAGCAUCGGAACGUGCCCAGUCGUGGGGGAUAACGCAGCGAAAGCUGCGCUAAUACCGCAUACGACCUAUGGAUGAAAGCGGGGGACCGUAAGGCCUCGCGCGAUUGGAGCGGCCGAUGUCAGAUUAGGUAGUUGGUGGGGUAAAGGCUCACCAAGCCAACGAUCUGUAGCUGGUCUGAGAGGACGACCAGCCACACUGGGACUGAGACACGGCCCAGACUCCUACGGGAGGCAGCAGUGGGGAAUUUUGGACAAUGGGCGCAAGCCUGAUCCAGCAAUGCCGCGUGCAGGAAGAAGGCCUUCGGGUUGUAAACUGCUUUUGUACGGAACGAAACGGUCCUGGUUAAUACCCGGGGCUAAUGACGGUACCGUAAGAAUAAGCACCGGCUAACUACGUGCCAGCCGCCGCCGUAAAAC
rnacentral:rRNA from 1 species